rnacentral:rRNA from 1 species
CGCGUAGGCGGUUGUGUGAGUGUGAUGUGAAAGCCCCGGGCUUAACCUGGGAAGAGCAUCGCAAACGACAUAACUGGAGUAGAUGAGAGGGUGGUGGAAUUUCCGGUGUAGCGGUGAAAUGCGUAGAGAUCGGAAGGAACGUCAAUGGCGAAGGCAGCCACCUGGCAUCAUACUGACGCUGAGGCGCGAAAGCGUGGGGAGCGAACAGGAUUAGAUACCCUGGUAGUCCACGCUGUAAACGAUGAGGACUAAAUGUUGGUAGGGGAACCUAUCGGUAUUGAAGCUAACGCGAUAAGUCUUCCGCCUGGGAAGUACGGCCGCAAGGUUGAA